rnacentral:rRNA from 1 species
GAUGAACGCUGGCGGCGUGCCUUAUACAUGCAAGUCGAGUGGGUUUAGACCCACGGCACACGGGUGAGUAACACGUAGGUACUUUCCUUGUCACAGGAAUAACCCUCCGAAAGGAGGGCUAAUACCUGAUGUGAUCGCAAGAUUAAAGGGUAUCCGCAAGGAUUACCGGACAAGAAGAGGCCUGCGGCCUAUCAGCUAGUUGGCGGGGUAAAUGCCCACCAAGGCUAUGACGGGUAGCUGGUCUUAUGAGGAUGAUCAGUCACAUGGGCACUGAGACACGGGCCCAACUCCUACGGGAGGCAGCAGUAGGGAAUUUUGCGCAAUGGGCGAAAGCCUGACGAAGCGACGCCGCGUGAGGGAUGAAGGCCUUCGGGUCGUAAACCGCUUUUAUAAGGGACGAACUUUGACGGUACCUUAUGAAUAAGAGGUUGCUAACUCUGUG